AAAAUUAGAAAAAAUGUGUUCAACAAAUAUAUAUAUAUAUAUAUAUAUUUGUCCCAUCUUCUCCAAAUCAGUGGGAAAAGCUUGCCUUUUGGUAUUUAUUAGUGUUUUCAUGGGCCCAGAACUGUGGUUUAAAAUUUUAUAUGUAUUUUCUUUCUCUCAUUCAUUCUCAUUCUCUCUCUCUCCCUUUCUCUCUCCCUCUCCCCCCCUCUCUCUCUCUCUCUCUCUCUCUCUCUCUUUUGUGGAGUAUAAAUUAAAAAACUGGAUUUGGGACCUAAAAUACUCCUCAGGUUGAGAUAUUCUUUUAAGUUUUAAAAUAGCUUUAGUUUUUAAAGUAAACUGGAUUUGUGGACCUUAAAGUUACUGAAUUUAAAACUACAAAUUGUAACAUCAUUACUGGACAUGUCAGCAUCAACCCUCUCAGAAUAGCUUGGUCACUUUAUGAAGGGGCGUUUUUAAGUUGUUGUUUAGCAGUGACAUUUAACAUGGUCCAAUUGCUUUUCUUUUUAAUAUGACAAAUUUUAAAAAAAGAAUAAGGAACAAACACUAUUGCUGCCGAAUGCCAUAACACUGAGUUGUACAAAUUGUGAUUGAGGAAAUGAAAAAGUUUAUACUUUUUAAAAAAAAAAAACAAAAAACAAAACUUCAAAUGGAAUAAAUUAUUCAUGAAGCCUUC
rnacentral:lncRNA from 1 species